rnacentral:tRNA from 1 species
UUCAGUUUGGCAGAAAAAAUGCAAUAAAUUUAGAAUUUAUUUAUGAUUUUUAUUAAAAUCAACUGAAA